rnacentral:rRNA from 1 species
GGAUAACACCUGGAAACAGAAGUUAAUACCGGAUAACAACACUAGACGCAUGUCUAGAGUUUGAAAGAUGGUUCUGCUAUCACUCUUGGAUGGACCUGCGGUGCAUUAGCUAGUUGGUAAGGUAACGGCUUACCAAGGCAAUGAUGCAUAGCCGAGUUGAGAGACUGAUCGGCCACAUUGGGACUGAGACACGGCCCAAACUCCUACGGGAGGCAGCAGUAGGGAAUCUUCCACAAUGGACGAAAGUCUGAUGGAGCAACGCCGCGUGAGUGAAGAAGGGUUUCGGCUCGUAAAGCUCUGUUGGUAGUGAAGAAAGAUAGAGGUAGUAACUGGCCUUUAUUUGACGGUAAUUACUUAGAAAGUCACGGCUAACUACGUGCCAGCAGCCGCGGUAAUACGUAGGUGGCAAGCGUUGUCCGGAUUUAUUGGGCGUAAAGCGAGUGCAGGCGGUUCAAUAAGUCUGAUGUGAAAGCCUUCGGCUCAACCGGAGAAUUGCAUCAGAAACUGUUGAACUUGAGUGCAGAAGAGGAGAGUGGAACUCCAUGUGUAGCGGUGGAAUGCGUAGAUAUAUGGAAGAACACCAGUGGCGAAGGCGGCUCUCUGGUCUGCAACUGACGCUGAGGCUCGAAAGCAUGGGUAGCGAACAGGAUUAGAUACCCUGGUAGACCAUGCCGUAAACGAUGAGUGAUAAGUGUUGGGA